AAGUCGUAACAAGGUUUCCGUAGGUGAACCUGCGGAAGGAUCAUUAACACUUAAAAUAAAAACAAUUUCCCUUUUGAAUCCCUCUCUUUUCUUUUCUCUUUCUCUUCUCUUCGGAGGGGAGACUGAGGAAGUCAAGAGAUUUUCAAAUUUAAUUUGAACAAAAAUGUGUAACCUUACUUUUUUACUUAUGGAUUUGAGGGCACAAGUGAGGGGGUUUUCUCUCUCUUUGUGGUUCUCAGAUUUUCUCAUAAACCAGUUAAACCCAAUAAAUCAAAAUAUGGCGUAUCUCAAAGGGACUUUUUGUCUCUCUGACGAUCCCCCAUAGUUAAACCAAAAACCAAAAACCAAAAACAAAAUAAAACAAAAUAAAACACAACUCUUAACAAUGGAUAUCUUGGUUCUCGC
rnacentral:misc_RNA from 1 species